UAACGCGUGAGGAACCUGCCUCAAAGAGGGGGACAACAGUUGGAAACGACUGCUAAUACCGCAUAAGCCCACGGCUCGGCAUCGAGCAGAGGGAAAAGGAGCAAUCCGCUUUGAGAUGGCCUCGCGUCCGAUUAGCUAGUUGGUGAGGUAAUGGCCCACCAAGGCGACGAUCGGUAGCCGGACUGAGAGGUUGAACGGCCACAUUGGGACUGAGACACGGCCCAGACUCCUACGGGAGGCAGCAGUGGGGAAUAUUGCACAAUGGGGGAAACCCUGAUGCAGCGACGCCGCGUGGAGGAAGAAGGUCUUCGGAUUGUAAACUCCUGUUGUUGAGGAAGAUAAUGACGGUACUCAACAAGGAAGUGACGG
rnacentral:rRNA from 1 species